GGAUCCGACGCUGGUGUACAUGAUUAGAUGGUCCGACUUUGUUGCGUCCGAGAUCACGAAUGUCGGAGUCCUCAGAGCUCUGUUGUGAGUUCCCGAAGUCCCUCCAGCCGCCCAUUCCCUCGUCGUCCCUGGAUCCCCUCCCGUCGGACCAUGGCAUCCUCAUCGUCGACCUCGACCCCUCCAUGGACCCCUCCCAUGGCUCCGUCGCACGUGCGUGGGGCAUAUUUCAGAUGGUGAAUGACAUCCACGUGAAAUGCGUCUGGUGGUCCACCGCUGCCUCUUCCUUCUAGGAAAUUCAUUCUAUAGAGUCUCUUUCUAUGCUAUGAUGGAUUUUGCUCAUAAGGAUUUGUCUUCCAUGUGUAAUGUGUAUUGGAGCUUUCACUAUCUCUCCUAUUCUAUUAGGAGUUAAGACCUAUUAAAUAUAUUUAAAAUGUGGUAUUUUUAAGUGCUAAUGCAAUCAUAAUGACAAUAUGUAAUAUUUGUUUAUAUGUAAGAGAGAUAUCUAUAUAUACUUCUCAUUAUUUAUUCUAAUUUGUUUAAGUACUUCAUUUUUGUCAUAUGUACUCUGAAUUAAGUCUGUUGGUGGAGUCAUAGUUACUUUUCAUUUAAUAAAGUUGAUCUCUCGACAUAAAAAAAAAAAAGAGAGAGAUAUUUAUA